rnacentral:rRNA from 1 species
CCUACGGGUGACAGCAGUGGGGAAUAUUGCACAAUGGGGGAGACCCUGAUGCAGCGACGCCGCGUGAGGGAUGAAGUCUUUCUGUGUGUAAAGCUCUAUCAGCAGGGAAGUUAAUGACGGUACCUGACUAAUCAUCUCCGGCUAAAUACGUGCCAGCAGCCGCGGUCAUACGUAGGGAGCAAGCGUUAUCCGGAUUUACUGGGUGUAAAGGGAGCGUAGACGGCAGGGCAAGUCUGAUGUGAAAGUCCGGGGCUCAACCCCGGGACUGCAGUGGAAACUGUCCGGCUAGAGUGCAGGAGAGGUAAGUGGAAUUCCUAGUGUAGCGGUGAAAUGCUUAGAUAUCAGGAGGAACACCAGUGGCGAAGGCGGCUUACUGGACUGUAACUGACGUUGAGGCUCGAAAGCGUGGGGAGCAAACAGGAUUAGAUACCCCAGUAGUC